rnacentral:sRNA from 2 species
CUCCUGGGUCAGGAAGCGGUAUUAUCCAUGUGCAAAUAACUGCAAACUCCCUUGCCCUUGUGUGAACCACCGUCUGGCGCUACCGCGAGUCCGUCGUUGAAGUAAGGAAGCUAAAGCGAGCAACCGCCGCAUCUGGUUGGCCGAGGCGCUAUCAAUCUCCCAUCAGAUACGGCCAACAUGCCUGCUAGCCCCAUCUGAUAAAAAUUUCUCCUGUCACGAUUCCUGCGCCGUCCGCAAAAAGGUGAUUUGAGGCGGAGAAUAAGUAGGCGAAAAGCAAAAGCAAAAAAAAAGGAAGAAAAAUAUUUGAAGACUAGGCUUGGUGAAUUGCCUUCCAGCCAGCCCGUUAUCCCGCAAGGGUUCCAUCAUCCUUCCCUGGCGCCCGUUGAGUCGGGUUGUAUUCUCCUCCUCAACAGAGCUUUAAAAGCUAAUCCUGC